AAGUACGCUGGAAGAGGUGUGCCAUACAAAAUGACAAUUACUUUUUGUGUCGAUUCGAAGCACCCCACUCGAUGGU